rnacentral:rRNA from 1 species
GACGAACGCUGGCGGCGUGCUUAACACAUGCAAGUCGAACGGAAAGGCCCUGCUUUUGUGGGGUGCUCGAGUGGCGAACGGGUGAGUAACACGUGAGUAACCUGCCCUUGACUUUGGGAUAACUUCAGGAAACUGGGGCUAAUACCGGAUAGGAGCUCCUGCUGCAUGGUGGGGGUUGGAAAGUUUCGGCGGUUGGGGAUGGACUCGCGGCUUAUCAGCUUGUUGGUGGGGUAGUUGCUUACCAAGGCUUUGACGGGUAGCCGGCCUGAGAGGGUGACCGGCCACAUUGGGACUGAGAUACGGCCCAGACUCCUACGGGAGGCAGCAGUGGGGAAUAUUGCACAAUGGGCGGAAGCCUGAUGCAGCAACGCCGCGUGCGGGAUGACGGCCUUCGGGUUGUAAACCGCUUUCGCCUGUGACGAAGCGUGAGUGACGGUAAUGGGUAAAGAGGCACCGGCUAACUACGUG